CACGGCCGCCAUGUCCGGGGGCUCGGGGCGGCUCCCCGCGUCCCAUUCCCGGCGUUAGGACCCCCGAGGAGCGACCCCCCGUCGAGCUCGUCCUCGUCAACGGGGCGAACCGGGCGUCUCCUUCCCUGCUUCGGUCUACGGCGGAGGAACUUCUUCAGCGUCUCCUUCCCCGGUCCGGCUUCCUCUCCGUCGGUUCGGCGCCCCCUCUUCGCCCCAAGGUGAGGCUGCACGUCGCCCCUGUGCUUCUUCCUCCUUGGGUCGGCCGGAGUCGCCGUGAUGCUUCGGUUUUCUUCCCUGUCAGUAGUUCGGCAACAGUGCGUGCGGUGCAGUAGUUGGGCGAGUUAUGUGCGUGUGUGUUCGUAGUAGCAGCCGGCAGCAAACGUGUAGCCUAGCAGCGCAACAGGUUCAGNNNNNNNNNNNNNNNNNNNNNNNNNNNNNNNNNNNNNNNNNNNNNNNNNNNNNNNNNNNNNNNNNNNNNNNNNNNNNNNNNNNNNNNNNNNNNNNNNNNNNNNNNNNNNNNNNNNNNNNNNNNNNNNNNNNNNNNNNNNNNNNNNNNNNNNNNNNNNNNNGCAGUGGUGGCGCGCCGGAGCUCUCUGUCGCCGGUGCGGCCUCAGCAGCGGCACCAGCAGGUAGCGCCGGUGCAGUUCCGGGCAGCCAAGGGGGAGCCUUUUCCCGUGCUCAGGGCGGGAAUGGAUCCCCUGAGGCUCCCGCGUCCCCCGCCAGGAGCUACCCCUGCCGGCGGUAGACGAGAGUGGCACCGCCAGCUCUCUCUGGUCCGGCCGCCGGCGGAGCUCUCCUCCGCAGCGGAGUUGCUUUACCUGUUUUCCCUUCCCGUUCUAGCCAGUCAACGAACCGUAGCCUGUUGGUAGAAGUGCACAGUCAUAUGCAUGCGCCUGUAGGAGGGCAUGGGUUCGAGUCCCCCCCUCGGCGCCUUUUUGUUAGUUUGCUUCGAUUAUUUUGGGUCAGUGGCAGUGCAGGCAGCUUACCUUGCAUUUCUCUCUUCUCCUGUUAAUAGCUAGUGCAACAGCGCAGUGGUAUGUGGUGGUGUUGUUGCACUAAGGGGGCUGGGGUUCGAAACCCAGUGAGCCCAGAUUUCUUUUUCUUUUAUUUUUUUCCUGUUUGCAGUCAUUUUUUCCCCUUGCUAUGUGAGCAACCCCAUGUCCAGCUCAGAGUAUAUUUUUCCCUAUGUGGUUCUUUCUUCCAUGUUAAUUGUAGGAGGUGUAGGAGUAGCUUGUGGUGAUAUUAGUGGUGUGAAUCUAUGCCUAUGUAUUCCUUCCUUCCAUGUUACUUGUUGGGGAAGUAGGAGAAGAAUUGUGAUGGUAGUAGUGGUGUGGGCCUAGGUGCUCGUAAAUGGUGCUUGAGGUGUGAUGUGUGUGCAAGUGUGUGUAUAUUGGUGCUCUCACUUGGGUGCCUUGCUAUUCUAGUGCAUGUGGGUGCUAGUUGCCCUCAUGAGGGUGGCCUUGUGCAAGUGUGUGAAUGUAGGGGUGCCCUCCCCACCACAUAUAAUUGUGUGUGAGAGCUUAUCCUAGUGUUCAUUGCCAUCAUAACAUGUGUAGGUAUGGAGAUGAUGUUGUUGUGAGUGCACACCACUUGUGGUACCUACUAAAAGUGUUUGAGAGAUGAUGCUACCAAGUUACUUGCUUAGUUUCUUACCCCCUCUAGUUUUCCUUAGGUUUAAGGGCAUGAUGUUGUUGUAAAUGAAGUGGAAUAUAUGUGAGAGUGUGCACCAUCACAUGCCCAUAUGUGGAGGUGUGCAUACUCUCUUGUUAGCUUAGAGUCCCAUUGUGUUGUGCUUGAAUCUAGUAGUAUUGUGAUAUGGGUGUUGGUGUUGUUGAUGUGCAUGACACAAACAUGGGGUUCAAACCCCCAUGUCACUUUGUCAUUGUGCACAUAAGAUUCACCUAUGUAUUUGUCAUCUUAGAAGCAUACCUUGUGGAAUUGCAUUUUCAUCUUGUUGAAAGUUUGGGCUUUGUUUCCAUGGUAUAGAUGGAGCCCAAGGGCAAGGAUCUUCGUGUGUUAGUGGUAGGGGUUUGUGCUCAACACCAUAGUGGUGUCAAUCACCUCUUGGGGACAUGUGUGUGCAAACUAUGCCUAGACAAAGUGGGCAUGUGGCUGGAAAAUUCCAGAUUUUUGAACUCUGAAAAUUUCACUAAGUCUGGAAUGCUGAAAACAUGUUCUUCCCCUGUAGAUAAGGUUGUGCUGGUCAUUAUAUUGAGAACUGGACUUAGUUAAGUGCUAGUGUUUUGAACCUGGUAUGUUUGUGAAGCUUCCUGUAAAUGUUCAAGUCAUUUGGAGUCCACUAGCUUGUGUUUUGAUUGCUGUCAAAAAGCUUCAGAACAGAAACAGAAUCUCAGGUGCAGGAAUUUUCACUAAGUCCCUGAGAACUGAUGGUUUUGGGAAAGUUUGUGGCCUUGUAUCUUCUAUAGUUUAAUUCCUUUUUCUGUGAUUCUUGCUGGAUCUUGUAGUGUUCUUGGUUGGCAACAGCCACAUAUAUUAUUUGUGGUAUUUGAAGACCUGUAGCUAUGUUGCAUGUUGCUCACAAACAGCUAAGAUGCAGAAACUGGCAGAUUACGUAGUUUUGCCAUUUUGUUCAAAGUUUGUGUUUAAUUGUCAUUGGGGUGUUCUACCUUGCUCCAUUUCAUUCAUGGUGGGUUAAUAUAUGUCUUGGCAACCUGGGAACACCAGAUUUGUGCCAAAUGGGUGUGAGGUGUUGAAUCUUUCACGUAGAGCUUCAUAUCGUGUUUCGUUGAUUCCCGUUGAUCCGUAGCUCCGUUUGCAAAGUUCUUUAUAUGGUUUUGCACCAUUUUUACGAGAUGCAUCUGUUCAUAUCAUUCCCAUGCAUUCCCAGAUAAGUUAGUGCAAAAUUCUGCCCAGGAACUUGUUGUAGUUUAUUGUGCUUGUGCUAGUGAUGGAAAUAGUAGUGCAUGCUCAACUUUCAUCUCAUGCAUCAUGUGAUUGUUGCAUUUUGUGGUGCUGCUGUUCAUUGGCUGUUAUUCUUGUGUUGGGUAGCACCGGGAGCGGAGAACGAAUACGUGGAGUCAGGAGAGUACGUGCAGGACGAUCCAGAACCAUUCCAAGCUGAGGAUAUCACAGGCAAGAUGACAUGACCUUGAUCCCAUAUCUAGACUUGUUAUGUUAGUUUCGAUUCCACGUCAUAUUGCUCGCUGCCUACCACUGAAAAGAUAUUGCCUCUUCAUAUGACAUGAGCUUAAACACCUUACUCUUUCCUAGCAAACUUGCAUGGCUAGGUAGGCUUGCUCAGCUACUAAUGUUAGCGUUGAUAGAUGUAGGUGCCUUAACUCAUGUGAUGACAUGAGCUUGAUAUCAUUAUAUUAAUUCCUGUUAUUUAAUUAAUGUAUCUAUAUAUUUGGUAAAUGACGGGAGGCCUAGCCUUUUGCCGGGUGUCUUGUUCCGUUAUUGCCGCCUUAGUUACCGGUUACCGGUGUUUGAUUCCAUAUUGAUCGCUCCUAACACGUUCGGGGUUGUUAUGGGGACCCCCUUGAUAAAUCGCGUAGUGUUAAGGCUUGUCCGGCAGGACCCAACUUUGGUACUAUUUGCUAAUCACCUAAUAAUGAACUGCAUAGGGAAUAGCUACCCUGAGGAACUUAAUCAACAACCCGGGCCAGUGCUCCUCAUGAGUGUUGGUCCAAACCAGAGCAGCUUAUUACGCUCCCCGGGGCAACUCGGAGUUUUGGCGUGGUAACCAUCGCUCAUCCGGCGUGUCCUGAGACUGAGAUACGCGGCUCUUAUCAGGGUCGUCGACACGUCGGGAGGUCCUGCUAGCCUUGUCUUACCUUAGCGGUAUAUCUUGCGUAUAGGAAUCCCGGUGAGGCUUUGGUUUUCCCCAGAGUUGAGGUUUUCCUCUAAGGAAUCCGACGAGAUCACGAGAUUCGUGAUAGAGGAUGCCUUUGCGGCCUGUGUUCUUUUGUGAUGGACUAGUUGGAGCACCCCUGCAGGGUUUAAUCUUUCGGAAAGCCGUGCCCGCGGUUAUGUGGCAACUUGGAAUAUUUUGUUAACAUCCGGUAUUAGAGAACGUGAACGUAAACUAAUAAAAAUGCCAACUGUGUGUGUAACCGUGACUGUCCCUUCGAAGACCUCUCUUCGAUCGGGAACACGGUGGGGUUAUGAAUGCCGUAGGUAGGUGUUCAGGAUCACUUUCUGAUCAAGCAUUCUCGAUCGUUAGCGUAGACCAUUUUCACUUCCUUCUCGCUUAAGUUAGCCACUUAUUCAAUCUUAGGUUGCAGCAGCCUGAAACACUUCACCCCUUCCUUACCCAAUAACAUGACUAGCUCUGGCACCAAGGUCUUAGAUUGCUGAGUCCCCGUGGCUCACGGAUUCCUCCGAAACUUCCAGCAGGUACAGGUACCCCAGAGU
rnacentral:lncRNA from 1 species